UUGGAUGGAAUUUUCUAUAUAUAUCUAUUAAGUUCAUCUCGUCUAAUGUGUCCUUUAAGGCCAGUGUCUCCUUGUUGAAUUUCUGUCUGGAUUAUCUGUCCAUUAGUGUAAGUGGAGUGUUAAAAUCCCCUACU